rnacentral:rRNA from 1 species
GACGAACGCUGGCGGCGUGCUUAACACAUGCAAGUCGAACGGAAAGGCCCUGCUUUUGUGGGGUGCUCGAGUGGCGAACGGGUGAGUAACACGUGAGUAACCUGCCCUUGACUUUGGGAUAACUUCAGGAAACUGGGGCUAAUACCGGAUAGGAGCUCCUGCUGCAUGGUGGGGGUUGGAAAGUUUCGGCGGUUGGGGAUGGACUCGCGGCUUAUCAGCUUGUUGGUGGGGUAGUGGCUUACCAAGGCUUUGACGGGUAGACGGCCUGAGAGGGUGACCGGCCACAUUGGGACUGGAAUGCGGCCCAGACUCCUACGGGAGGCAGCAGUGGGGAAUAUUGCACAAUGGGCGGAAGCCUGAUGCAGCAACGCCGCGUGGGGGAUGACGGCCUUCGGGUUGUAAACCGCUUUCGCCUGCGACGAAGCGUGAGUGACGGUAAUGGGUAAAGAAGCACCGGCUAACUACGUG